GCUGAUAAAGCCAAACUCCGAGUAAUCGGAGGACGGAAAGCCACGGAUCCCAUCUUGAGCGGGAUGGCCGGGUUGCCAAAG
rnacentral:ncRNA from 1 species